GAUGAACGCUGGCGGCGUGUCUAAUACAUGCAAGUCGAGCGAACGGACGAGAAGCUUGCUUCUCUGAUGUUAGCGGCGGACGGGUGAGUAACACGUGGAUAACCUACCUAUAAGACUGGGAUAACUUCGGGAAACCGUAGCUAAUACCGGAUAAUAUUUUGAACCGCAUGGUUCAAAAGUGAAAGACGGUCUUGCUGUCACUUAUAGAUGGAUCCGCGCUGCAUUAGCUAGUUGGUAAGGUAACGGCUUACCAAGGCAACGAUGCAUAGCCGACCUGAGAGGGUGAUCGGCCACACUGGAACUGAGACACGGUCCAGACUCCUACGGGAGGCAGCAGUAGGGAAUCUUCCGCAAAGGGCGAAAGCCUGACGGAGCAACGCCGCGUGAGUGAUGAAGGUCUUCGGAUCGUAAAACUCUGUUAUUAGGGAAGAACAUAUGUGUAAGUAACUGUGCACAUCUUGACGGUACCUACUCAGAAAGCCACGGCUAACUACGUG
rnacentral:rRNA from 1 species